GCUGGGCAUGGUGGCACAUACCUGUAAUCCCAGUGGCUCAGGAGGCUGAGGCAGGAGGAUCGUGAGUUCAAAGCCAGCCUCAGCAAAAGGGAGGCACUAAGCAACUCAGUAAGAUCCUGUCUCUA
rnacentral:sRNA from 1 species